GUCGAGCGAGCUUGCCUAGAUGAAUUUGGUGCUUGCACCAGAUGAAACUAGAUACAAGCGAGCGGCGGACGGGUGAGUAACACGUGGGUAACCUGCCCAAGAGACUGGGAUAACACCUGGAAACAGAUGCUAAUACCGGAUAACAACACUAGACGCAUGUCUAGAGUUUAAAAGGUGGUUCUGCUAUCACUCUUGGAUGGACCUGCGGUGCAUUAGCUAGUUGGUAAGGUAACGGCUUACCAAGGCAAUGAUGCAUAGCCGAGUUGAGAGACUGAUCGGCCACAUUGGGACUGAGACACGGCCCAAACUCCUACGGGAGGCAGCAGUAGGGAAUCUUCCACAAUGGACGCAAGUCUGAUGGAGCAACGCCGCGUGAGUGAAGAAGGGUUUCGGCUCGUAAAGCUCUGUUGGUAGUGAAGAAAGAUAGAGGUAGUAACUGGCCUUUAUUUGACGGUAAUUACUUAGAAAGUCACGGCUAACUACGUGCCAGCAGCCGCGGUAAUACGUAGGUGGCAAGCGUUGUCCGGAUUUAUUGGGCGUAAAGCGAGUGCAGGCGGUUCAAUAAGUCUGAUGUGAAAGCCUUCGGCUCAACCGGAGAAUUGCAUCAGAAACUGUUGAACUUGAGUGCAGAAGAGGAGAGUGGAACUCCUUGUGUAGCGGUGGAAUGCGUAUAUAUAUGGAAGAACACCAGUGGCGAAGGCGGCUCUCUGGUCUGCAACUGACGC
rnacentral:rRNA from 1 species